GCACGAGAGAAAUGCUGGCGAUGCUGAUGCCGUUGAAGUAAGUGUUAAACUUGUCAUCUAAAAUAUACGAUUUGACACAUACAUAUUUUCAGAAAUACAUGUCGUCGCACAAAAAUAUAACCACUAGCAUAUACAACUUACGUUUGCCAUUUGGUGCAAAACCUAAUCAAAGAUGCUGUUUUCAAGAACGAUAUUGGUGUUCUGCAGUUAUUUCUUAUCCUGAUUAACUUUGGGAGAUUCAAAUAUUUUGCAGUGUAGGUGUGAAAUGUGGUAGUAUGCUUCUAUUUUGGCCGGCCGCUCCCUCCUCCGAAUCAUUCCAAGCAGCCGAGAAGAAUGGGAAACUUGCUGGCUACCUAGUACACCACAAUCUCAACCCCUCAACUUCUAGAUAGGGACAACUUUGCGGUGAUGGUAGGUGUCCUGUGUCCACGCACCACCCUAAGGCAUAGACAACAAACAUUAAUAUAUCUACUGGUCUCUCCAAUUCGAUCGGGUAAUGCUUGUAGUGAACGGGUUACGAAGUGGAUACGAAUGGUAUUUGCAGAACUACGUUGUUUUCCCCUUAUUUGCAGUAUCUAUUAGUAGUGUAGUGACUCGUAACACUUUGAAUUCAUCAUUUUCUAUCUAAACUCUUUUAGUAUUAGGAUCGAAAAUAACUCGAAUGUGCUUAUGAGAUUAUUACACUUUGUUUCACUGUAAACUAAUGAUUGGUGGAGUAUAUAAUCUUACAUUCCCUGAAUUUAGAGUACUAUAUACAGUUUUAUAUUUUAAUCAAAGUGCGCGGAAAAAUGAAAAUAUUUACGAGUAUUCGAAACCCACAAAUGUUAAUUGGGUAUAUUUAUCUCCACCCCCGAACCCUCAUUGCAUGCCUUGCAAGUUGCAGCGACA
rnacentral:lncRNA from 1 species